AUUCCCGGCAUCCCCUAUGAGAGACGGCUUCUCAUCAUGGCGGACCCUAGAGAUAAGGCGCUUCAGGACUACCGCAAGAAGUUGCUUGAACACAAGGAGAUCGACGGCCGUCUUAAGGAGUAUCGUGGGUGAAGUGCUUAAACAGUUAACUGAAGAAAAAUUCAUUGUUAAAGCUACCAAUGGACCAAGAUAUGUUGUGGGUUGUCGUCGACAGCUUGACAAAAGUAAGCUGAAGCCAGGAACAAGAGUUGCUUUGGAUAUGACUACACUAACUAUCAUGAGAUAUUUGCCGAGAGAGGUGGAUCCACUGGUUUAUAACAUGUCUCAUGAGGACCCUGGGAAUGUUUCUUAUUCUGAGAUUGGAGGGCUAUCAGAACAGAUCCGGGAAUUAAGAGAGGUGAUAGAAUUACCUCUUACAAACCCAGAGUUAUUUCAGCGUGUAGGAAUAAUACCUCCAAAAGGCUGUUUGUUAUAUGGACCACCAGGUACGGGAAAAACACUCUUGGCACGAGCCGUUGCUAGCCAGCUGGACUGCAAUUUCUUAAAGGUAAAGGGAAGAUUAUUUUGUACUUAUUGAAAUUUAAUGUUACUUGAAUUAUCUUAUAUUUACCUUACUGUUUUUCCUUUAAUCAGGUUGUAUCUAGUUCUAUUGUAGACAAGUACAUUGGUGAAAGUGCUCGUUUGAUCAGAGAAAUGUUUAAUUAUGCUAGAGAUCAUCAACCAUGCAUCAUUUUUAUGGAUGAAAUAGAUGCUAUUGGUAAGAAUAACACCCUUGUUGAAAGUUUUAGGACUUUUUUUUAAAUUUAAAAGAACCUUUUUCCCUCUCUUAAUCUGUAAUUGUGACUUGUAUGAAGUAGAUACCACAAUGAAUCAGAUGUUAGUUUAACCAAUUUUAAUAAAUAACCUUUCAUGGCCGGGUGCGGUGGCUCAUGCCUGUAAUCCCAGCACUUUGAGAGGCCAAGGUGGGCAGAUCACGAGGUCAGGAGAUCGAGACCAUCUGGCCAACAUGGUGAAACCCUGUCUCUACUAAAAAUACAAAAAUUAGCUGGAUGUGGUGGCACAUGCCUGUAAUCCCAGCUACUGAGGAGGCUGA
rnacentral:sRNA from 1 species